GCCUGUAAGGGACCAAUAUGGCUGAAGGAGGAGAACCACGAGAAAAAAAAAACAGCAAAAGAAGCGAAUGAAAAUGUCUAAAGCGCUCAAGAAGGGUUUUGAACCCUUAGACACUAUUAGAGAUAUGAAGGUACUUACUGAAUGGCGGUGUGCUGGUAGAAAUGUUACCGGCAGUAAAGAAUGCUCCUUAGAUGUUCCUAGAUGUACAGAAUUCAUCACGAAUUGACUAGUGGGAACUGCACUUGUUGACGAAAGGUCGUCGCGAUGACUGAAAUCAUUCUGGAAUAUAAUGGGCAUGCAAUUCAAUCAGUCCAUGCAAAAAUAAAGACUACUAUUAUAUCAGUUUAUUUACAAAAUCUUUUAUUCAUAAAAGAUUUUGCUAUUUUACAAAUGACCUUUUGUUAUCAUUGCUAUCACAA